AGAAAGGGCGGGUCCUGGUGCUGAGCACGCCCCCUUCCCCGGAGGAAGAAGGUGAGAGUGAAAAAGCAGGUGGGAGAAUCACUCAUCUGGGCUGGACAAGGACAUCCACUGAUUAUUUUAGACCAAAAUUCAGCAUCCAGCUCUGGAAAUCUGACAGGGUGUCUGAGAACUGAGGGAAGGAUCGGUGGGUCACAGAACAACUACCAUCCAGAAACUGCAAAGAACUGACUCAUUGGAAAAGACCCUGAUGCU